GAUGAACGCUGGCGGCGUGCCUAAUACAUGCAAGUCGAGCGAACGGACGAGAAGCUUGCUUUUCUGAUGUUAGCGGCGGACGGGUGAGUAACACGUGGAUAACCUACCUAUAAGACUGGGAUAACUUCGGGAAACCGGAGCUAAUACCGGAUAAUAUUUUGAACCGCAUGGUUCAAAAGUGAAAGACGGUCUUGCUGUCACUUAUAGAUGGAUCCGCGCUGCAUUAGCUAGUUGGUAAGGUAACGGCUUACCAAGGCAACGAUGCAUAGCCGACCUGAGAGGGUGAUCGGCCACACUGGAACUGAGACACGGUCCAGACUCCUACGGGAGGCAGCAGUAGAGAAUCUUCCGCAAUGGGCGAAAGCCUGACGGAGCAACGCCGCGUGAGUGAUGAAGGUCUUCGGAUCGUAAAACUCUGUUAUUAGGGAAGAACAUAUGUGUAAGUAACUGUGCACAUCUUGACGGUACCUAAUCAGAAAGCCACGGCUAACUACGU
rnacentral:rRNA from 1 species